GGGGAGUAUUCUACAACUGGGGCGCUAUCAGUUUUGUGUAAGUUGAGACAGGGGAUUUGUUUGGCCUGACAGGCCAGAUGCUAAUCUUCAGCCACCUCCACAGGCCAACUCUGACAGGUGGGCAGGACAACCCACCUAUCAAUCAUCUGAUGUCAUAAUGAUGUUGCUAGGCUCUCUGGACAACAGAUUUGCAAGCCCUGUGCCAGGUGGUGGCCAUCUGCCUUUUAAAAGGUGAUUUGACCAUGGAUCAAUCAAUGCCUAAAAGCCUUGAUAGCUGAAUAAUGAUCUCCCCCUCUCCCUGCUGGGCACCUCAGGAUAUCCAUGUCAGCAUAGAAACUUGGGAAGAUGCCCUACCACUAACCUACUACCAUUCCCCCAUAUCAUGGCUGGCUAGUGCACAAGUGGGCAUAAUGGGAUGCUGAGGCAGUUAGGAACAGCAUAGUGCUGAACCAAUAUUUUUGGCCAUCCCCUCACCCCACCCCCAGACACUGGGUGGGGGGAGGGGUGAAAGCAGAAAGCUGACAAGAGUCAGGCAAAAUUUAUUGAAGUUUCCAGUAACUUCUCAGAAUACCAGAAGCAAGAAAUGUGCCCAAAACUUCCUUAUUUACUUAUUUUAUUGCAUUUAUAUCCCAUCUUUUCCUUCAUGGAGUUCAAGGUGGUGUACAUGGUUCUGUGAGGUAGGUUAGACUGAGAGUGAGUGUGAUGGCUUGUGAAUUCUUUCCACAAGAAAUGCCUCUGCUCACUCAGAGAUACAUAUAUACAGUCUUUAUUUUACAUAUGUACAAGCAGCACGUUACAAUCAUGCAUCCGAAUCCUCCGGCUCAGAUUCUGGGAGUGCCUUAUGCCUGCCCCUUCUCCAACAGAAAAGGCGUGGAAUUUUCAUGUGAUGUCUCUGUCCCCUCCUCUUUAACACUCUCCUUUCCUUGGCAGACGGAACAGGCAUUGUUUCACUGUCCGUGCCAGAACUUCCUGUGUGGUGUUGAGGCUCUGGUCCAACAUCUGUGAGCUGUCCCUCCUCCUGGCUUUCCCUUCUUUCCUCCACCGCCACUUCCUGCCCCCCUUCCUCUGCCUGUCUCUGCUCCUCCCCUUCAUUCUCUAGCAAUACCAUGACAGUGGGUGACUGGCCCAAGGUCACGCAGUGAGCUUCAUGACCAUGGAGAUUCAAACCCUGGUCUCCCAGGUCCUGGUCUGACCACUCUAACCACUACACCAUACUGGACUUCAUGAAAGUCACAUGAAUGUGCCUCCCCAAAAGCAGGGGCAGGUAAUCCCCUGAAAAGAAGGUAUUCAGUUCACUGUCAGGAAAUUACAAAUGAGAGAGAUGAAGGGGCUGUGUAAGAGCAGACCAUAAAAACUGCUGUCUUGCCCAGCCAAGCCAAACUCCUAUGGCUUCAGCACUUAUCCCAGGCUAGUCAAAUCUUGAACACUAUUACUGCAAAACUUUAAGGGAUGGUGAUAAUGUAAGUCCACUGUGAGCAUAAAUCUGAAGAUGGGUGCUGCUGCUUCCACUCCUUAGUGGUUCACUAGUAGAAACAGGGAUGUUGUAAUAAAAGCUAUCGUAAUUCUAUACUAACUAGCAUGAUCUUACGAUCUGAAUCAAAUAUGUCAGAUUUCUUGUGGUAUAUAAAUUGAAAUCAUCAUCAUCAGUGCAUCCUGGAACACUGUACUGUGUUUUCAGGUUUUCCUUGAUAAUGUUGUUAGGUUUGUUAUUCCCUGCAAAGAAUAAUUUAUGUUAAAGCUGUUUUUAGUCUGUCCACAGAGCAGUCCAUUUGAAAAUUAAAGGAAAAGCCCAUAAAGAGAGGCAUCAACUAAGUACAGCUAGCCUUGCAAGAAAUUGCCUGGCCAUCUCAUUUCUUUCCCAACUUUUGCACAAACCUAUCAAGGUAACCUACUUGUGCUUCAGUUUCCCCACUGAAAAGGCAUCAUUAAGGGACUUGAACAGAAGAGAAAACUAUUUUCAUUAUUCAAGUUUGCUUCAGUUCCCAAGUAUUUGUCCUUCUUCUCACUGCAUUCCUUGUUUGAAAAAGUUAGAGAACUUGCUAUUCUGGUUCAGCUUUUCUUUUCUGUCCUCUCAUUUCCUCUAGUCCACGAUGACCUUGACCUCCUCUUUCCUUCUGAUCCUGCCAUUUCCUUUAAGCCUCGCCUUCGUCUUUCAUUCCUCUCAUUGUGAUGCUUUUAUUGUCAAGAGCUGAACUUCACACCGAGGCUACCUCAACCCACAGGCUUUGGAACAAAAGAUAACAUGGGCACUAAAAAGCACCAGGAACAAGAGACAGAAUUAGCAGGCAAGACUGCAGUGGAGUGAGAAAAGAAAGUCAACUAAAGUUAGUCCUGUGAUCACCCAGGUGAACUUGUCCCUAAGUUUCUCCUGGCCUCAAGAAACCUUUAUGAUUACAAAAACCAUCCUACUUCUUAACUUCCACUUUUCUGCUGAAUCUUUCCUUUAAGUUCCCUGGCACAAAAUGUACAACAUUCCAGAUUCUGUAGUGUAAAACAUCUAUACUGGUAACUUUAUAAGGACGCUUAAGAAAUUUUGCUGGCUGUGAACCACAAGUUAGUGACCAGACUAAAGCCAACAGUAGGCUUCAUGGCUGAGUAUCUACUUGAAUCCCAGUCUUCCCAUUCUGUGACCAAAAACACUACCCACUACCUCACCCUACCUCACACUUAAUCCUCGCAUUCCACACUCCAGAAUAUGUAAGUGCACUGAGCUUGAGUGGCAGCUCACAGGUCCAACGGGUGUUCCUGCAGCUUAGACCCAGGUGUCAAAAAGGAUGGCAGCCAUAAUCAGGCCAUCAACAAGGUAAGUCGGCAAUGUGCUAAUGCUGGUACAGUAGGACCUUGGACAGCUCUAAGCUGACAACUUCUUCCAACAAGAAGAAGUUGCCCUAUCUACCUCUCAAUGGUUUCUUCUCCUUUCUGAGAAGUAAGUCAGAAAGAUUCAUCUGGCCUGUAGCCAGAUGCAUUGUGGGUGCAUUGUGUGUGAACAGGCACUGGGAGACAUAGGGCCUUCAUGGUGAAUGUGACAGAUCCUCAGGGGAACCCAGAUCAAGAGUCUCUGGCUUAGUGGCAGGGCCCAUGUCUAGUGGGUCUUCUGCUUGUUCCGCUGGCCCUCCUCCUGAUCUAGUUUGAACAAGCCAGGUACCAACAUCAACCAAAGUUUCAUAGUGCCUAUGAAGAAGAGAAGAAGAGCUUGGAUUUCAUAUCCCGCUUUAUCACUACCCUAAGGAGUCUCAAAGCGGCUAACAAUCUCCUUUCCCUUCCUCCCCCACAACAAACACUCUGUGAGGUGAGUGGGGCUGAGAGACUUCAGAGAUGUGUGACUGGCCCAAGGUCACCCAGCAGCUGCAUGUGGAGGAGCGGAGACGCGAACCCGGUUCCCCAGAUUAUGAAUCUACCGCUCUUAACCACUACACCACACUGGCACCACACUGAAGCAGGAAAAUGAUUAAUUGAAAGAAUAUUUGUAUAAUAUACCUGUUUUCUUUUGGACAACUCAAAUCCAGCUAAACCAUUAAAACUUAAAACAACAACCUGGAACUGACAUAGAGGGAAAGCAGCCAAUCAGAUCAGGAACUGUAAAAGAAGUGCUGUUUAAUUACAAUUUAAUCAAAGGUGUUUUGUUGCUUAUUAAAAUUAAGCCAGUUUAUUGCCAGGGACAGGUGGAGAAGAGGAAGUUAAAACAACCCAUCUGCCUUUGUAAAUGAAUGCUUUUUUUAAAAAAAUCAUGGAGACAAUGGCCUUUUAAAUUUGUUUGUGG